UACGGGAGGUGCAAGCGUUGUCCGGAAUCACUGGGCGUAAAGGGCGCGUAGGCGGCCUGAUAAGUAGGGGGUGAAACUCCUGCGGGCUUAACCGCAGGGCUGCCUUCUAAACUGUCGGGCUAGGAGCACGGUAGAGGCAGAUGGAAUUCCCGGUGUAGCGGUAGGAAUGCGUAGAGAUCGGGAAGAACAUCAGUGGCGAAGGCGGUCUGCUGGCCGUUGCUGACGCUGAGGCGACGGACAGCGUGGGGAGCGAACAGG
rnacentral:rRNA from 1 species